rnacentral:rRNA from 1 species
UACAGAGGGUGCAAGCGUUGUUCGGAAUUAUUGGGCGUAAAGCGCGUGUAGGCGGCUUUGCAAGUCGGGUGUGAAAGCCCUCGGCUCAACCGAGGAAGUGCGCCCGAAACUGCAGAGCUUGAGUACCGGAGAGGAUGGCGGAAUUCCCCAAGUAGAGGUGAAAUUCGUAGAUAUGGGGGAGAACACUCGUGGCGAAGGCGGCCAGCUAGACCAGUUCUGACACUGAGGCGCGACAGCGUGGGGGAGCAAACGGG